UAGUGGUCAGGGUGACCUAACCUCCCAGACAGCAUCCUAGGAACAGAGCAGCUUUAUGAAGUCCCCCUGACAGGAGAAAAAGGGAAAAUUCAAGUCUAGAAACACACACUUCCUUGGGAGCUCUGUUCAGUUUAUCAAGUUAACAGUGCAGUUCUGCAUUUUUUUGAAGGCCAAGAAUAGGAGUUGGAAAUUUGGGCACUGAUUCAACAAGCCUUGUCUUGCGAAUGUGGGAAACUUCUCAACUGUGAAGACCUGUGCAUAACAACAAAAUUUAACUUUCUGUUACUCCUUUGUUUUUCCUUUUACACAUUAAAUAUUUUCUAUCCUGACUGAC